ACCACUGAACCACCAAUGCACCCUGUGUGUGUAUACUUUCUGCAUACUACAAAAGGGGAUAUUUUCAUAUAAGUAGUUCUGUUUUUGUAAUUUCAUAGUAUUUAUAUGUUCAAUUUUAGAGAAAGUAAUGUAAUACUUAUUAAACAAUUAUCCAAAAUAUUGAGAAAACAUUAACAUUUACAGAAAACCUCAUAUUAAUUUUAUGUUGAACUAUAUGAGGAGAUUCUCCUGAAGCUCUCCUUGGUGAAGAAGGCAAAUUAAAAUUUUGUUAUGUAUGUACAGGACUACACAAUUACUUAGCUGUAUCUUAGACAUUUAGAUAAUUUAUAACAAUGCUUUUUUCCCCACCCCACCCCUUUAUUUUUUAUCAUUUUAGCUAUUAAGACAAAUACACGAUGAUAUUUGUCAGGAAUGGGGAUUAGGGACAAAGGAGCAGUGAAGGGGAACUGGGACACCUUGAACCAAAUUAUAAGGGUAUAUUGGAACUCUGUAAUUCAAACAGGGAACUUCGAAGUGUUGGUGAUUCUAAGCAAGUGACAAAAUUCUCUAAACUGCCCCUUCUUUCAUUGUGAAUGACUUUUCAGUGUAAAACAGUAUGAGUCUGGUUCCUCAAUGCUUAGUUUCUGUGGAAAGUAAAAUUGAAAACCAUACAAGGAUAGAUGAAGGGGAGAAGGUAGGUGAGAAGGAAGCAUUUAUGGAAAUAAGUAUAAACAUAAGAUAAAGUUUCUGGAUUUAGCCCUUUAUCUCUGGGAAGGAAAUUUCCAACAAUUUUCAGGAUCAUUGAAAACCAAAGAGGAUUUAGGGGGAAAGUAUGAGAAAAUAACAGCAAACACAUAGCAGGGUCCAUGUGCUGGGCUGUGUUAGUAUUAUCACACAUGAACUUCAACCCAAUGAGGUAUUUUAACUACUCCCACUUAGUAAAUGAGGAAACUGAGCCUCGUGGGAAGAUUGGAAAACAUGUAAUUGUCAUAGUUAACAUCUAUAUGCUUAGCCACCUCUCUGCCUACAACAGAAUAAAUCACUGUGUACUUGCACCAGAAAUACUGCACUUAGCUCAGGACAUUAUGUAUCAGGAAUAGUAGAAUGGAGUUAGAAAAAGAUCAUAAAAGGGUACUGAAGUAAUGUAAGAAUUUCUGUUAAAAUUUGUUUUAAGAAAUUUUUAGUAUGUGGAUGCAGAAAAAAAUUGAAAUCAAAUAUAUCAUAGGGUUAUAAAUAUAUAAAUGAUAUAAAGAGAUUAGGGAAGCUGAAAAUCUAGACUGCAAUUCUAAGUGACCUGUGGAAAAACAAAGUCAAAUCAUUUUACCUCUCUGAACCCCAGUUCUUUAAAAUAAGAAAACAAGGGGGAGAUGUGGUUUUUCAAAUUGCAUUCCGAAGGGGUCUAGCUUUCUCGAAGGGCUUCAGGGCCAUUGCCUGGUAAGGCUCCACCUUCUCCGGGUGGAGAGGUGUCACUUCCACCAGCUCAUUUUUAAACUCUCCCAUUUAUUUACAUUUGUUUGAUGGGUUAAAAUCUGACAUGGAAAAUAACUUCGAAAAGCCCUGAACUAAAUGACCCAAGUUUCUUUGAACUCGGAAAUAUUAUGAUUCAAAAUAAAAUAACAAUCUAAAAAAAUAAUAAACACAACCCUCAGUAUAAGAAACACUACCAAAAGUUUAAAACAGGUGGAAGGAAUCAAAUUAAAAAUAUGAUGUGAUGGUAAACAUUAUUAGUUGCCUAUCCAAGGCCAUUUUACUUUCUUUCUCAAUGAAAGUUGGUACCAAUCUACCUAGCCCCUGGGACAAAUGUAGCACCCUAGGCCAGUUAUUCUAUUUUCCUUCCUAAAAUUUUAUCUGGGAUGGGAUUCUGACAGUCACUAACAAUGAGAAGGAAGUAUGUAUUCAGCUAGGGGCUUCUGGGAAAAGAUGGGACAUCUCUUCUGCCUUUUCUUCUCUGCUUGUAACACUGUGGUAUGAGGCAUGAUGCUUGGAGUUCCCAGACAUCUUGUGACUUGAAGAAUGACUAAGGAGGACCUAGCAGAAAGAUGAAAAGAGACACUGCACCAUCCUUGGAUGUUCUCCUUUCAGGCUUUUGUUUAAAAUCACAAGUAGUACCCUAAGGCCUACUUUC